rnacentral:rRNA from 1 species
CCUACGGGUGGCAGCAGUGGGGAAUAUUGCACAAUGGGGGGAACCCUGAUGCCGCGACGCCGCGUGAGUGAAGAAGUAUUUCGGUAUGUACAGCCCUAUCAGCAGGGAAGAAAUAAAGUCCUUCGGACUUUAGACGGUACCUGACUAAGCAGCCCCGGCUAACUACGUGUCAGCAGCCGCGGUAAUACGUAGGGGGCAAACGUUAUCCGGAUUUACUGGGUGUAAGGGGAGCCUAGACGGGAGCGCAAGGCUGGCGUGAAAUCCCAUGGCUAAACGAUGGAACUGCGUUGGAAACUGUGCAGCUAGAGUGCAGGAGAGGUGAGCGGAAUUCGUAGUGUAGCGGUGAAAGGCGUAGAUAUUA